AGGGAAUCUUCCGCAAUGGACGAGAGUCUGACGGAGCAACGCCGCGUGAGUGAUGAAGGUUUUCGGAUCGUAAAACUCUGUUGUUAGGGAAGAACAAGUAUCGUUCGAAUAGGGCGGUACCUUGACGGUACCUAACCAGAAAGCCACGGCUAACUACGUGCCAGCAGCCGCGGUAAUACGUAGGUGGCAAGCGUUGUCCGGAAUUAUUGGGCGUAAAGCGCGCGCAGGCGGUUUCUUAAGUCUGAUGUGAAAGCCCACGGCUCAACCGUGGAGGGUCAUUGGAAACUGGGAGACUUGAGUGCAGAAGAGGAGAGUGGAAUUCCACGUGUAGCGGUGAAAUGCGUAGAGAUGUGGAGGAACACCAGUGGCGAAGGCGACUCUCUGGUCUGUAACUGACGCUGAGGCGCGAAAGCGUGGGGAGCGAAC
rnacentral:rRNA from 1 species